rnacentral:piRNA from 1 species
UCCUUCUGGUCUUCUCACCCUGCAGC